GGGAGAGGAGGGGGGAGCAGCCCGGGGCUAAGCGCCCUUCAGCCUGGGAAUGGAAGCCCCUCGAGGGCAGCCGGCAUCCUUUCUGUCCGCGUAGCCUCGGGCCUAGCGCGUAGUAAGCUCUCGAUAAAUGCUUGCGCUAUGGAGGGUGAGAGGAAUGAGUCCUUAACCCUAGAAUCCCCAAAGGUCCCCGGAGCCGUUAGAAUGCUGUAAUCAUCUACCGCCCACAGAAGAUCAGUUAGUCCUUCGAGAUCUCUGAGGAUCCCCAGCACCCUGCCUGCACCGAGGAGGCAUUCAACAGAAGGCUUGUGGAGCCCGUGGUCCCUGGAGGUCUUUGGCCUGUGACAGGGAGCUGAGGCCAGAACCUGGAUUUCUUGCUUUCACCGUCCAAUUUGCUUUUGCUAGACCGCAAUGGGGUUUUGAGGCCACAGACUUCCAAAUGACAACUUAACAUUUCUCAUGGAGAAUUUCGUUGAAAAUUCCUACUUGUGUAAAAACAGGAUUGAAAAAAAAAAACCAAACCAAUCCA